CCGGGGGGUACCGAAUUCUACGGGAGGCAGCAGCUAAGAAUAUUCCGCAAUGGACGAAAGUCUGCACUUGAGACGACGCCGCGUGGAUGAUGAAGGCCGAAAGGUUGUAAAAUCCUUUUGUCGGGGAAGAAUAAGCGUGGGAGGGAAUGCCCGCGUGAUGACGUUAACCGGCGAAUAAGCCCCGGCUAACUACGUGCCAGCAGCCGCGGUAACACGUAGGGGGCGAGCGUUGUUCGGAAUUACUGGGCGUAAAGGGCAUGUAGGCGGUUUUAUAAGCCUGGCGUGAAAAGGCUAUGGCUCAACCAUGGCAUUGCGUUGGGAACUGUGAGACUCGAAUCACGGAGGGGGAGCUGGAAUUCCAGGUGUAGGGGUGAAAUCUGUAGAUAUCUGGAAGAACACCCAGUGGCGAGGCGAGCUCCUGGCCGAUGAUUGACGCUGAGGUGCGAAAGUGUGGGGAUCAAACAGGAUUAGAGACCCUGGUAGUCCACACUGUCAACGAUGUGCACUAGGUGCUGGGGCGGACGUCUCAGUGCCGGAGCUAACGCGGUAAGUGCACCGCCUGGGGAGUAUGCUCGCAAGGGUGAAACUCAAAGGAAUUGACGGGGGCCCGCACAAGCGGUGGAGCAUGUGGUUUAUUCGAUGGUACACGAGAAACCUUACCUGGGUUGACAUACACUUGAAUACGGUAGAGAUAUCGUAGUCCCGCAAGGGACAGGUGAACAGGUGCUGCAUGGCUGUCGUCAGCUCGUGCCGUGAGGUGUUGGGUUAAGUCCCGCAACGAGCGCAACCCCUACUGCCAGUUACCAACACGUUAUGGUGGGGACUCUGGCGGAACUGCCGGUGACAAACCGGAGGAAGGUGGGGAUGACGUCAAGUCCUCAUGGCCCUUUAUGUCAGGGCUACACACGUGCUACAAUGGUCGGUACAAAGUGACGCGAAGCCGCGAGGUGAAGCAAAUCGCAGAAAGCCGGCCUUAGUUCGGAUUGGAGUCUGAAACCCGACUCCAUGAAGGUGGAAUCGCUAGUAAUCGCACAUCAGCAUGGUGCGGUGAAUACGUUCCCGGGCCUUGUACACACCCCCUAUAACGGUAUG
rnacentral:rRNA from 1 species